GCUGGGGUUUUUUUUUUUUGUUCUUAAUUUUUUGAAAUCCAAAUGGCUUGGGGGCCCUCUGACGGUGAAAUAGGAAAUUCCGUCAAAUUUCAACGUUGACGGCGUGGUUUACGUGCGGACUCCGAAAAGGCAAAGAGGGGGAAACGUCCGUUAAAUUCGAGGAUAAGGGUUGGGGAAAUCGUGGCGGGUCCUACACUUAUAAAUUUUUUU
rnacentral:lncRNA from 1 species